GACGAACGCUGGCGGCGUGCUUAACACAUGCAAGUCGAACGGAAAGGCCCUGCUUGCAGGGUACUCGAGUGGCGAACGGGUGAGUAACACGUGGGUGAUCUGCCCUGCACUUCGGGAUAAGCCUGGGAAACUGGGUCUAAUACCGGAUAUGACCUUCCAUGUAGUGUGGGGGGUGGAAAGAUUUAUCGGUGUGGGAUGAGCCCGCGGCCUAUCAGCUUGUUGGUGGGGUAAUGGCCUACCAAGGCGUCGACGGGUAGCCGGCCUGAGAGGGUGGACGGCCACAUUGGGACUGAGAUACGGCCCAGACUCCUACGGGAGGCAGCAGUGGGGAAUAUUGCACAAUGGGCGGAAGCCUGAUGCAGCGACGCCGCGUGGGGGAUGACGGCCUUCGGGUUGUAAACCUCUUUCGACAGGGACGAAGCUUCGGUGACGGUACCUGUAUAAUAAGCACCGGCUAACUACGUG
rnacentral:rRNA from 1 species